AUUGAACGCUGGCGGCAGGCUUAACACAUGCAAGUCGAACGAGUGGCGGACGGGUGAGUAAUGUCUGGGAACCUGCCCGAUGGAGGGGGAUAACUACUGGAAACGGUAGCUAAUACCGCAUACUAUCGGAUGUGCCCAGAUGGGAUUAGCUAGUGGGUGGGGUAAAGGCUCACCUAGGCGACGAUCCCUAGCUGGUCUGAGAGGACGACCAGCCACACUGGAACUGGGACACGGUCCAGACUCCUACGGGAGGCAGCAGUGGGGAAUAUUGCACAAUGGGGGCAAGCCUGAUGCAGCCAUGCCGCGUGUAUGAAGAAGGCCUUCGGGUUGUAAAGUACUUUCAGCAGGGAGGCGUUAUCCGCAGAAGAAGCACCGGCUAACUACGUGCCAGCAGCCGCGGUAAUUC
rnacentral:rRNA from 1 species